rnacentral:tRNA from 1 species
GGGAUCAUAGCUCAGCUGGGAGAGCGUGAGACUGAAGUUCUUAAGGUCCCGUGUUCGAUCCACGGUGAUCCCA